UAGAAAUACGACUUCUGUUUGUAAAAGAUAUUGAACCUGAAGUAGUGACUGGUGGAGACUGAAUCCAGAACUUUCCCCCAGGAUGAACCCAUCAUCCUGAACACAGCUAGAGCACAAGUUGAAGGCCCUCUUCCUGACUGCU
rnacentral:lncRNA from 1 species